GACACUUUUAGGACAUCCUAUCUCUGCUAUUGAGUUGUGAGUGAGUGGGCAGAAGCACAGACAUUAUGUAACUGAACUGUUCCUGCCUCAGAGACAGUAAGAGAGCAUCCACACACACAUGAGAGAGAGAGAGAGAGACAGUGGGAAAUAAAUAAAUUAAAAUCUCACCUGACCUGGUUAGGGUGAGUGAAUAAAGAGAUGAAGCUGAAAGGGGAGACAGUGAUUGUUUGUAACAGUGAUGAGACAGUCAGUGCUUUUCUCUCAUUCUGUGUGUGAGUCAUUGUUUGGCUGAGCAGCAGUGUACUGGAAACCACAGAGAAGGACAACAAGAAAACGAGAUGAUGGGGGUUGAAAGGCAGUGUGAGGUGGAGGUACUGAAACAGUCCCAAAAAGAUUUACAGUGGGUCCAAAAACAGCUGUCAACCAUCUCUAACCGAACCAAUGGACCAGGCAGGACCAAAGAUAAGAAACGGAGGAAUGAGGUGUUUCCAUUGCAUUUAUCUGCGUUAUCGCCUCAGCAUGUGGAAGCAUACCGACUGCUAGAGGACAGGAAACACAAACUCUCACCUGAGACUGCCGCUCUCUACCUGCUUCGACAACAGCACAAACUAUUGGUCAGUCUGCAUGCAUCUGUCCUCCUAACCGUAUGCCAAUGAUCUCGAUGUUUAAGCGUUUUGUUUUAGGAAAGAAAAGAUGGAAGAAGUGUUCUAUUCUGCCUAUAUGCUUGCUUAAAUUGAUUUUAACAUUACACAAACGUAUAAACACACAUAUCCCACCAGAGAUAGUUUGGAUGUGUUGGGCCAGAUGUAAAUGAAUUGCAUUGAUUAUAUGCACACACACCAGC
rnacentral:lncRNA from 1 species